UACAGAGGGUGCAAGCGUUAAUCGGAAUUACUGGGCGUAAAGCGAGCGUAGUCGGUUAUUUAAGUCGGAUGUGAAAUCCCCGGGCUCAACCUGGGAAUGGCGAUGGAUACUGGCGAGCUAGAGUGUGUCAGAGGAUGGUGGAAUUCCCGGUGUAGCGGUGAAAUGCGUAGAGAUCGGGAGGAACAUCAGUGGCGAAGGCGGCCAUCUGGGACAACACUGACGCUGAAGCACGAAAGCGUGGGGAGCAAACAGG
rnacentral:rRNA from 1 species